CAGGAACGAGGGCGAGCGUGGGAGGCCAAGCCUGGAGGGGAACGUGGGGGCCUCCAGGCGGCAAGAACGUCGGGCGGAUUUUGGAGCUGGUGAAGCAUCUGCUCUGGGAAGGGAGAGGCAGAAGGGACGCUUGGAAUUACCGAGGACCAGGCCCAUGUGGCAGAGUAGCUGCUGUCCUAGAAUGCCAACCUUUGCCCCUCC
rnacentral:lncRNA from 1 species